rnacentral:rRNA from 1 species
CGUCCGUCGUGAAAAGGGAAACAACCCAGACCGCCAGCUAAGGUCCCAAAGUUGUGGUUAAGUGGUAAACGAUGUGGGAAGGCUUAGACAGCUAGGAGGUUGGCUUAGAAGCAGCCAUCCUUUAAAGAAAGCGUAAUAGCUCACUAGUCGAGUCGGCCUGCGCGGAAGAUGUAACGGGGCUCAAACCACACACCGAAGCUGCGGGUGUCACGUAAGUGACGCGGUAGAGGAGCGUUCUGUAAGCCUGUGAAGGUGAGUUGAGAAGCUUGCUGGAGGUAUCAGAAGUGCGAAUGCUGACAUGAGUAACGACAAUGGGUGUGAAAAACCCCCACGCCGAAAGACCAAGGGUUCCUGCGCAACGUUAAUCGACGCAGGGUUAGUCGGUUCCUAAGGCGAGGCUGAAAAGCGUAGUCGAUGGGAAACAGGUUAAUAUUCCUGUACUUCUGGUUACUGCGAUGGAGGGACGGAGAAGGCUAGGCCAGCUUGGCGUUGGUUGUCCAAGUUUAAGGUGGUAGGCUGAAAUCUUAGGUAAAUCCGGGGUUUCAAGGCCGAGAGCUGAUGACGAGUCGUCUUUUAGAUGACGAAGUGGUUGAUGCCAUGCUUCCAAGAAAAGCUUCUAAGCUUCAGGUAACCAGGAACCGUACCCCAAACCGACACAGGUGGUCGGGUAGAGAAUACCAAGGCGCUUGAGAGAACUC